CUACGGGGGGCUGCAGGCGAGAAAACUUUGCAAUGUGCGAAAGCACGACAAGGUUAAUCCGAGUGGUUUCUGCUAAAGGAACCUUUUGUCAGUCCUAGAAACACUGAUGAAUAAGGGGUGGGCAAGUUCUGGUGUCAGCCGCCGCGGUAAAACCAGCACCUCAAGUGGUCAGGAUGAUUAUUGGGCCUAAAGCAUCCGUAGCCGGCUCUGUAAGUUUUCGGUUAAAUCUGUACGCUCAACGUACAGGCUGCCGGGAAUACUGCAGAGCUAGGGAGUGGGAGAGGUAGACGGUACUCGGUAGGAAGGGGUAAAAUCCUUUGAUCUAUUGAUGACCACCUGUGGCGAAGGCGGUCUACCAGAACACGUCCGACGGUGAGGGAUGAAAGCUGGGGGAGCAAACCGGAUUAGAUACCCCAGUAGUC
rnacentral:rRNA from 1 species